GUCUCCUCUCUUGUGGAUGUAAUGGAAGAGUAAACUCACAUCUCUUUCCCAAUACGCAAUUCACAAAUAUAUCCCUUUCUUGUACUAGUCUUAAAGACUUGUCUAUACCAGUCUAGAUUUAUUUCUGCACAUAGAAAUUCUUGAUAUUGACUAGCAUAUCAAUCGCUGUUAUCAAAUACACUCAACUCAUACAACAAUUGUCCCACACCAAAUCUAUAAUCCCAUCAAUUAUACAAAUAUCAAAACAAAACCAAUGCCUUCCUUCAGGUAAGAACACCAUACAUAAAUCCAGUGUCUUCCCUCAGGUAAGAACACCAUACAUAAAUCCAGUGUCUUCCCUCAGGUAAGAACACCAUACAUAAAUCCAGUGUCUUCCCUCAGGUAAGAACACCAUACAUAAAACCAGUGUCUU
rnacentral:lncRNA from 1 species